rnacentral:rRNA from 1 species
AUUGAACGCUGGCGGAAUGCUUUACACAUGCAAGUCGAACGGCAGCACGGGUGCUUGCACCUGGUGGCGAGUGGCGAACGGGUGAGUAACACAUCGGAACGUACCCAGUCGUGGGGGAUAACGUAGCGAAAGUCACGCUAAUACCGCAUCCGUCCUGAGGGAGAAAGCGGGGGACCGUAAGGCCUCGCGCGAUUGGAGCGGCCGAUGGCGGAUUAGCUAGUUGGUGGGGUAAAGGCCUACCAAGGCGACGAUCCGUAGCGGGUCUGAGAGAACGGCCCACCACACUGAAACUGAGACACGGUCCAGACUCCUACGGGAGGCAGCAGUGGGGAAUUUUGGACAAUGGGCGAAAGCCUGAUCCAGCCAUUCCGCGUGAGUGAAGAAGGCCUUCUGGUUGUAAAGCUCUUUCGGCAGGGAAGAAACGGCUUGGGAUAAUACCCCGGGCUAAUGACGGUACCUGAAGAAGAAGCACCGGCUAACUACGUGCCAGCCGCCGCGGUAA